GUCCACGCCCUAAACGAUGAUCACUAGAUGUGUGCGAUACACUGUACGCGUCCAAGCGAAAGCAUUAAGUGAUCCACCUGGGGAGUACGGCCGCAAGGCUGAAACUCAAAGGAAUUGACGGGGGCCCGCACAAGCGGAGGAGCAUGUGGUUUAAUUCGAUGAUACGCGCGGAACCUUACCAGGGCUUGAAAGUUAAGGAAUGAUGUAGAAAUAUGUCAGUCAGCAAUGACCUAAAACUAGGUGCUGCAUUGCUGUCGU
rnacentral:rRNA from 1 species